AGGAUGCUAUAUCAUCAUAUAAAUCCAUCUUGUGGGGGCUUUGCUGUCAUCACCUUUGGCUGCUUAUCUCUUUGUUUGCAAGGCUUUUAAAUUUCUUUAAUACUCAACUUCAAUCCAUUACUGUUGCAACCUAAUUUUCAAACGUUAGCUUGUCUCCAUGUCUACCUUUUAUGGUGUUGGUUUUUCCCUCUUGUAAUUCUUACUCUAUUCUUCCCUGCAACCUGGUUUUUAAGUAUUAAUGCCUAGUUUGGCUUAAAGUUCUAAGAAAUGACAAGGCAUCAUAUGGAGAGUAACAUAGAAGAAAAGGUCAUUCUUCACGGAGAGUCUAAGAAAGCACAUACAAUGAUUCCUGCUCACUUGGUUGCUGAAGCCAUAUCCACUCUCCACCUGAGAUGGUCAGGCCCAAUACCCCCAACUGAGAUGAAAUAUGUUUGCGAAAUACCCGCAAUAUUGCAAUGGCCUUGUGGAAGAGGGACACAACAAAUUUGAUCUUGAUAAUCUUUCUAUAAAGGAGGAAUCUACAGAGACCCUACCUGAUGACAAACGCAAGUCCCACAAGAAUAUUAGUAGUAAUCUUUCUGACCUUGACAAAACCCAAUUGGAGCCAUCAAGACUCCUUGAUAUACUUACCAAGAAAUCUUCUUUUCAAGGGAGUUUCAUUUCAAUCCCAGAAAUCCAAGCUAGGAACCGAGCCUUGAAGCAUUGUGGGCUAUCAGAAAAGGACUACUUGGUUCUUUUCAUGCCUAACUACAAGGAUGCUAUGAUGAUGAUUGGGGAGAGCUACCCUUUCUUCAGAGGCAAUUUCUACCUGACCAUUAUUAGCGAAGAGUUUGAUCAGAAAAGGGAAUUUGCGACUCAUAAAGAAUCAAAAGUCGUUUCAGCACCAGAAUCUUGGUUGGACUUGAGGAUUAAGGGGUCGCAACUUAGCCAGAACUUCAGGAGGAAGUGUAAGCAUAGUCCUAAGGGACUUUUUUCUUACCCUCUCUAUUUGAAUGGGACCCGAUACUCACAGCAUUGGAUCUCAGAGGCACACCGGAAUUCAUGGCAUGUUCUCCUUGAUAUAAUGGGCUUGAUUUCUGGCGAGGACCGGCUGGCUCUUGCUCUACACCGUCUUGACUUUGUGUUGUGUUUACUAGAUAACACACAUGGUCAGCCAUCCAAGAUUACUUGCCUCCUCGUUAGGAGAAAAUCAUUUGAUACUACUUCACCUUCGGCCUAAGUCCAUAACUAAUUACUAGAGCUUGUAAUAAGGAUGUGAAUGUAGAUCAGCUUCAAGACCUGUAUUUUAAUGUAGUAUAUAUAUAUAUAUAUAUUGCAUUUGCUUUUGUUCUUAAACAUGCUAAUG